rnacentral:tRNA from 1 species
AAGGCUUUAGCUUAAUUAAAGCGUCUGUUUUGCAUGCAGAAGAUGUGGGUUAAUACCUCGCAAGUUUUA